rnacentral:lncRNA from 1 species
UAAUAAAAACUUUGGCUGAUCCAUAGAUCGGCCCUCUCUGAGCCUUAAUCCACCCUUCAAACCCUUAAAUCCAAAAAAAUAUUACUAAAGUCGAACCCCACCAUUUUUUGAUAACCCUAACCCUUCUACCCUAAUUUACGAAGAAUAACAUCAAUAAACAGCAAACAAGCAUGCCAAUAAACUCAAAAUUAAAAAAAUAUCAAUGAUUCAAAUUAUUCAAGGAUACACCUACAAGAGCUUGGCUUCCCCCGGUCAACUAAAGGUAAAACUUCCUUUGAC